GAUGAACGCUGGCGGCGUGCCUAAUACAUGCAAGUCGAGCGAACGGACGAGAAGCUUGCUUCUCUGAUGUUAGCGGCGGACGGGUGAGUAACACGUGGAUAACCUCCCUAUAAGACUGGGAUAACUUCGGGAAACCGGAGCUAAUACCGGAUAAUAUUUUGAACCGCAUGGUUCAAAAGUGAAAGACGGUCUUGCUGUCACUUAUAGAUGGAUCCGCGCUGCAUUAGCUAGUUGGUAAGGUAACGGCUUACCAAGGCAACGAUGCAUAGCCGACCUGAGAGGGUGAUCGGCCACACCGGAACUGAGACACGGUCCAGACUCCUACGGGAGGCAGCAGUAGGGAAUCUUCCGCAAUGGGCGAAAGCCUGACGGAGCAACGCCGCGUGAGUGAUGGAGGUCUUCGGAUCGGAAAACUCUGUUAUUAGGGAAGAACAUAUGUGUAAGUAACUGUGCACAUCUUGACGGUACCUAAUCAGAAAGCCACGGCUAACUACGUG
rnacentral:rRNA from 1 species